rfam:Parcubacteria (Kuenenbacteria) bacterium GW2011_GWA2_42_15 TV02_C0021, whole genome shotgun sequence.
GGGGACGCUUUAAAUCGAUUGGAAACGCCCGCUAUAAUCGCUAACCAAGUUGUCAGUCUUGCUAAAACUGGCGCACAAAUAAGUGUCAAAAAUAUCGCGAGCGCUGUUAGAGAAAAAAUAAGCACUUUUGUUGCUUCUUUAACUCCAAACUUCGCUCCCGCAGUAGCUUAAAUACUAUUGCCGCCCCCCUUGUAAACCUGUGCCAAGACCGGGGUGUUAUAAAUUCGGGUGUAGGUAUGGAUCAAACGCUUGAUUUGGUCCGCCGAAAUAUUCUCAAGCUUUGCGUUUAGAAUUUUUGCCUGUUUUAAUUUUAAACGCGAAAACCAAACAUGGCUAUGUUAGUAAACAAUUAUAAUUGGCCUUCCAAGACGCGGGUGUAAUACCCGCCGUCUCCACCA